rnacentral:rRNA from 1 species
CCUGGUUGAUCCAGCCAGUAGUCAUAUGUUUGUCUCAAAGAUUAAGCCAUGCAUGUGUAAGUAUGAACUAAUUCAGACUGUAAAACUAUGAAUGGCUCAUUAAAUUAGUUACAGUUUGUUUGCUGGUACCUACUACUCAAAUAAUCAUAGUAAUUCCAGAGCUAAUACGUGUAACAAACCCCAUCUUCUGGAAAGGAUGCAUUUAUUAGAUAAAAGGUUGAUGCAGGCUAUGCUCAUUGCUCUGAUGAUUCAUGAUAACUCGACAGAUCAUAUGGCUUUUGUGCCGAUGACGCAUCAUUCAAAUUUUUACCCUAUCAACUUUUGAUGGUAGGAUAGUUGCCUACUAUGGUGGUGAUGAGUAACGGAGAAUUAGGGUUCGAUUUUGGAGAGGGAGCCUGAGAAACGGCAACCACAUCCAAGGAAGGCAGUAGGCGCGCAAAUUACCCAAUCCUGACAUGGAGAGGUAGUGACAAUAAAUAACAAUAUCGGGCUUUAUGAGUCUAGCAAUUGAAAUGAGUGCAAUCUAAAUCCCUUAACAAGGAUCCAUUGAAGGCAAGUCUGGUGCUACCAGCCACGGUAAUUCCAGCUUCAAUAGCAUAUAUUUAAGUUGUUGCAGUUAAAAAGCUCGUAGUUAGAACUAGGGUUGGGUCGUCCGAUCUAUCUCACGGUGAGCAUCGGUCUACUAGUCCCUACUGCCAGCGAUGCACUCCUAAACUUAAUUACUUGGGUCAUUCCUCCGAUGUUGUUACUUUGAAAAAAUUAGAGUGCUUAAAACAGGCCUACGGUUGUAUACGUUAGCAUGGGAUAACAUCAUAGGAUUUUGGUCCUAUUAUGUUGGCCUUCGGGAUCGGAGUAAUGAUUAAUAGGGACAAUCGAGGGCAUUCGUAUUUCAUAGUCAGAGGUGAAAUUCUUAGAUUUAUCAAUGACAAACAACUGUGAAAGCAUUUGCCAAGGAUGUUUUCAUUAAUUAAGAAUGAAAGUUGGGGACUCGAAGAUGAUCAGAUACCAUCCUAGUCUUAACCAUAAACGAUGCCGACCAGGGAUCGACGGAUGUUACUUUUAGGACUCCGCUGGCACCUUAUAAGAAAUCAAAGUCUUUGGGUUCCAGAGGCAGUAUGGUUGAAGGCUGAAACUUAAAAGAAUUGACGGAAGGGCAUCACCAGGAGUAGAGCCUACGGCUUAAUUUGACUCAACACGGUGUAACUUACCAAGUCCAAACAUAGUAAGGAUUGAUAGACUGAAAGCUUUUUCUUGAUUCUAUGGGUGGUGGUACAUGGCCAUUCUUAAUUGGUAGAGCGAUUUAUCUGGUUAAUUUCGUUAACGAACGAGACCUCAUCCUGCUAACUAGCUAUGCAGAGGUGAUCCUUCGUGGCUAGCUUCUUAGAGGGACUAUGGUCGCUUAGGCCAAGGAAGUUUGAGGUAAUAACAGGUCUGUGAUGCCCUUAGAUGUUCUGGGCUGCACGUGCGCUACACUGAUGUGUUCAAUGAGUAUAGCCUUGGCCGAUAGGCCCAAGUAAUCUUUGAAAUUUCAUUGUGAUGGGGAUAGAUCAUUGCAAUUGUUGGUCUUCAACAAGGAAUUCCUAGUAAGCACUAGUCAUCAGCUCACGUUGACUACGUCCCUAUCUUUUGUACACACUGGUCGUCGUUCCUACCGACUGAAUGGUCUAGUGAAGUGUUCAAAUCGCUACGAUGUGGACGGUUCACCGCUCGUGACGUCACGAGAAGUCCACUGAACCUUAUCAUUGGGAAGAAGGAAAAGUCAUAACAAGGUUUUCGUAGGUGAACCUACGAAAA